rnacentral:rRNA from 1 species
GGUUAAGCGACUAAGCGUACACGGUGGAUGCCCUGGCAGUCAGAGGCGAUGAAGGACGUGCUAAUCUGCGAUAAGCGUCGGUAAGGUGAUAUGAACCGUUAUAACCGGCGAUUUCCGAAUGGGGAAACCCAGUGUGAUUCGUCACACUAUCAUUAACUGAAUCCAUAGGUUAAUGAGGCGAACCGGGGGAACUGAAACAUCUAAGUACCCCGAGGAAAAGAAAUCAACCGAGAUUCCCCCAGUAGCGGCGAGCGAACGGGGAGCAGCCCAGAGCCUGAAUCAGUGUGUGUGUUAGUGGAAGCGUCUGGAAAGGCGCGCGAUACAGGGUGACAGCCCCGUACACAAAAAUGCACAUGCUGUGAGCUCGAUGAGUAGGGCGGGACACGUGGUAUCCUGUCUGAAUAUGGGGGGACCAUCCUCCAAGGCUAAAUACUCCUGACUGACCGAUAGUGAACCAGUACCGUGAGGGAAAGGCGAAAAGAACCCCGGCGAGGGGAGUGAAAAAGAACCUGAAACCGUGUACGUACAAGCAGUGGGAGCACGCUUAGGCGUGUGACUGCGUACCUUUUGUAUAAUGGGUCAGCGACUUAUAUUCUGUAGCAAGGUUAACCGAAUAGGGGAGCCGAAGGGAAACCGAGUCUUAACUGGGCGUUAAGUUGCAGGGUAUAGACCCGAAACCCGGUGAUCUAGCCAUGGGCAGGUUGAAGGUUGGGUAACACUAACUGGAGGACCGAACCGACUAAUGUUGAAAAAUUAGCGGAUGACUUGUGGCUGGGGGUGAAAGGCCAAUCAAACCGGGAGAUAGCUGGUUCUCCCCGAAAGCUAUUUAGGUAGCGCCUCGUGAAUUCAUCUCCGGGGGUAGAGCACUGUUUCGGCAAGGGGGUCAUCCCGACUUACCAACCCGAUGCAAACUGCGAAUACCGGAGAAUGUUAUCACGGGAGACACACGGCGGGUGCUAACGUCCGUCGUGAAGAGGGAAACAACCCAGACCGCCAGCUAAGGUCCCAAAGUCAUGGUUAAGUGGGAAACGAUGUGGGAAGGCCCAGACAGCCAGGAUGUUGGCUUAGAAGCAGCCAUCAUUUAAAGAAAGCGUAAUAGCUCACUGGUCGAGUCGGCCUGCGCGGAAGAUGUAACGGGGCUAAACCAUGCACCGAAGCUGCGGCAGCGACGCUUAUGCGUUGUUGGGUAGGGGAGCGUUCUGUAAGCCUGCGAAGGUGUGCUGUGAGGCAUGCUGGAGGUAUCAGAAGUGCGAAUGCUGACAUAAGUAACGAUAAAGCGGGUGAAAAGCCCGCUCGCCGGAAGACCAAGGGUUCCUGUCCAACGUUAAUCGGGGCAGGGUGAGUCGACCCCUAAGGCGAGGCCGAAAGGCGUAGUCGAUGGGAAACAGGUUAAUAUUCCUGUACUUGGUGUUACUGCGAAGGGGGGACGGAGAAGGCUAUGUUGGCCGGGCGACGGUUGUCCCGGUUUAAGCGUGUAGGCUGGUUUUCCAGGCAAAUCCGGAAAACUAAGGCUGAGGCGUGAUGACGAGGCACUACGGUGCUGAAGCAACAAAUGCCCUGCUUCCAGGAAAAGCCUCUAAGCAUCAGGUAACAUCAAAUCGUACCCCAAACCGACACAGGUGGUCAGGUAGAGAAUACCAAGGCGCUUGAGAGAACUCGGGUGAAGGAACUAGGCAAAAUGGUGCCGUAACUUCGGGAGAAGGCACGCUGAUAUGUAGGUGAAGUCCCUCGCGGAUGGAGCUGAAAUCAGUCGAAGAUACCAGCUGGCUGCAACUGUUUAUUAAAAACACAGCACUGUGCAAACACGAAAGUGGACGUAUACGGUGUGACGCCUGCCCGGUGCCGGAAGGUUAAUUGAUGGGGUCAGCGCAAGCGAAGCUCUUGAUCGAAGCCCCGGUAAACGGCGGCCGUAACUAUAACGGUCCUAAGGUAGCGAAAUUCCUUGUCGGGUAAGUUCCGACCUGCACGAAUGGCGUAAUGAUGGCCAGGCUGUCUCCACCCGAGACUCAGUGAAAUUGAACUCGCUGUGAAGAUGCAGUGUACCCGCGGCAAGACGGAAAGACCCCGUGAACCUUUACUAUAGCUUGACACUGAACAUUGAGCCUUGAUGUGUAGGAUAGGUGGGAGGCUUUGAAGUGUGGACGCCAGUCUGCAUGGAGCCGACCUUGAAAUACCACCCUUUAAUGUUUGAUGUUCUAACGUUGACCCGUAAUCCGGGUUGCGGACAGUGUCUGGUGGGUAGUUUGACUGGGGCGGUCUCCUCCUAAAGAGUAACGGAGGAGCACGAAGGUUGGCUAAUCCUGGUCGGACAUCAGGAGGUUAGUGCAAUGGCAUAAGCCAGCUUGACUGCGAGCGUGACGGCGCGAGCAGGUGCGAAAGCAGGUCAUAGUGAUCCGGUGGUUCUGAAUGGAAGGGCCAUCGCUCAACGGAUAAAAGGUACUCCGGGGAUAACAGGCUGAUACCGCCCAAGAGUUCAUAUCGACGGCGGUGUUUGGCACCUCGAUGUCGGCUCAUCACAUCCUGGGGCUGAAGUAGGUCCCAAGGGUAUGGCUGUUCGCCAUUUAAAGUGGUACGCGAGCUGGGUUUAGAACGUCGUGAGACAGUUCGGUCCCUAUCUGCCGUGGGCGCUGGAGAACUGAGGGGGGCUGCUCCUAGUACGAGAGGACCGGAGUGGACGCAUCACUGGUGUUCGGGUUGUCAUGCCAAUGGCACUGCCCGGUAGCUAAAUGCGGAAGAGAUAAGUGCUGAAAGCAUCUAAGCACGAAACUUGCCCCGAGAUGAGUUCUCCCUGACUCCUUGAGAGUCCUGAAGGAACGUUGAAGACGACGACGUUGAUAGGCCGGGUGUGUAAGCGCAGCGAUGCGUUGAGCUAACCGGUACUAAUGAACCGUGAGGCUUAACCUU